rnacentral:rRNA from 1 species
ACUCCUACGGGGAGGCAGCAGUAGGGGAAUCUUCCACAAUGGGCGCAAGCCUGAUGGAGCAACACCGCGUGAGUGAAGUAAGGGUUUCGGCUCGUAAAGCUCUGUUAGUUAAAGAAGAACACGUAUGAGAGUAACUGUUCAUACGUUGACGGUAUUAACCAGAAAGUCACGGCUAACUACGUGCCAGCAGCCGCGGUAAUACGUAGGUGGCAAGUCGUUAUCCGGGUAUUUAUUGGGACGUAAAGAGAGUGCGAGGUCGGUUUUCUAAGUCUGAUGUGAAACGCCUUCGGACGUUAACCGGAGAAGUGCAUCGGAAACUGGAUAACUUGAGUGCGAGAAGAGGUAGUGGAACUCAUGUGUAGCGGUGGAAUGCGUAGUAUAUAAGUGG